UUGAACGCUGGCGGCAGGCCUAACACAUGCAAGUCGCGCGGAUGAAGGGAGCUUGCUCCUGGAUUCAGCGGCGGACGGGUGAGUAAUGCCUAGGAAUCUGCCUGGUAGUGGGGGAUAACGUCCGGAAACGGGCGCUAAUACCGCAUACGUCCUGAGGGAGAAAGUGGGGGAUCUUCGGACCUCACGCUAUCAGAUGAGCCUAGGUCGGAUUAGCUAGUUGGUGGGGUAAAGGCCUACCAAGGCGACGAUCCGUAACUGGUCUGAGAGGAUGAUCAGUCACACUGGAACUGAGACACGGUCCAGACUCCUACGGGAGGCAGCAGUGGGGAAUAUUGGACAAUGGGCGGAAGCCUGAUCCAGCCAUGCCGCGUGUGUGAAGAAGGUCUUCGGAUUGUAAAGCACUUUAAGUUGGGAGGAAGGGCAGUAAGUUAAUACCUUGCUGUUUUGACGUUACCAACAGAAUAAGCACCGGCUAACUUCGUG
rnacentral:rRNA from 1 species